CCUACGGGGGGCAGCAGUAGGGAAUCUUCGGCAAUGGACGGAAGUCUGACCGAGCAACGCCGCGUGAGUGAAGAAGGUUUUCGGAUCGUAAAGCUCUGUUGUAAGAGAAGAACGAGUGUGAGAGUGGAAAGUUCACACUGUGACGGUAUCUUACCAGAAAGGGACGGCUAACUACGUGCCAGCAGCCGCGGUAAUACGUAGGUCCCGAGCGUUGUCCGGAUUUAUUGGGCGUAAAGCGAGCGCAGGCGGUUAGAUAAGUCUGAAGUUAAAGGCUGUGGCUUAACCAUAGUACGCUUUGGAAACUGUUUAACUUGAGGGCAAGAGGGGAGAGUGGAAUUCCAUGUGUAGCGGUGAAAUGCGUAGAUAUAUGGAGGAACACCGGUGGCGAAAGCGGCUCUCUGGCUUGUAACUGACGCUGAGGCUCGAAAGCGUGGGGAGCAAACAGGAUUAGAUACCCCGGUAGUC
rnacentral:rRNA from 1 species